rnacentral:rRNA from 1 species
UACAGAGGUCCCGAGCGUUGUUCGGAUUCACUGGGCGUAAAGGGUGCGUAGGUGGCGAUGAAAGUUCGAUGUGAAAUCUCCGGGCUUAACCCGGAAAAGGCAUUGAAAACUAUGUUGCUUGAGGUUUGGAGGGGGGACUGGAAUUCUUGGUGUAGCAGUGAAAUGCGUAGAUAUCAAGAGGAACACCAGUGGCGAAGGCGGGUCCCUGGACAACACCUGACACUGAGGCACGAAAGCUAGGGGGAGCAAACAGG